UACGAAGGGGGCUAGCGUUGCUCGGAAUCACUGGGCGUAAAGCGCACGUAGGCGGCUUUCUAAGUCAGAGGUGAAAUCCUGGAGCUCAACUCCAGAACUGCCUUUGAUACUGGAAAGCUUGAGUUCGGGAGAGGUGAGUGGAACUGCGAGUGUAGAGGUGAAAUUCGUAGAUAUUCGCAAGAACACCAGUGGCGAAGGCGGCUCACUGGCCCGAUACUGACGCUGAGGUGCGAAAGCGUGGGGAGCAAAAGGG
rnacentral:rRNA from 1 species